UACGAAGGGGGCUAGCGUUGCUCGGAAUUACUGGGCGUAAAGGGCGCGUAGGCGGCGCUGUUAGUCAGGCGUGAAAGCCCUGGGCUCAACCUGGGGACUGCGCUUGAUACGGCAGUGCUAGAGGAUGGAAGAGGGUCGCGGAAUUCCCAGUGUAGAGGUGAAAUUCGUAGAUAUUGGGAGGAACACCAGUGGCGAAGGCGGCUUCCUGGCCUGUUCUUGACGCUGAGGCGCGAAAGCUAGGGGAGCAAACGGG
rnacentral:rRNA from 1 species